UAUAUUUCAAGUCAUCUAUCAAGUAGACAUUCUUAAUAGAAGAGAGUCUGUCUUACCUAUCUUUCCAACCCCAAUGAUCUCACAUUUCUUUCCAUUACCAAAGGAGACAUUACCUCGUUUUAGGUUCUCAAGUGAAAGGAACUGGUCCUUCUUCCCAAUCAUGUCUUUUGAGGAGCCAUUAUCCAUGUGCCAUAUUUGGCUACUCCCUUUCAUUUGAACCUGCAAGAAAGAAAUCAGGGGUUAGUCUUAGAAAACCAAACUAGUUUGGUUCCCUUUCUAUGGGCAAAAGGAUGAAUCAGAUUCUUUCUUGCCCAACUAGGCAGCUUGUGUUUCUCUUGAACAAAAGCUUUGUUCUUUUGACUGGCCUUUCCUUUUGCAUUGCAUCCAUUUUUAAUGGCCAGUCUUACCACAGUGUGUGCAGAUCUUAUUCUCAGGAAGUGUUAGGUACUUGUUUUUGGGAUCCUAUUUUGGAGUUUGAAUCCCAUAACCAAGUCCUCUUUUGUUGCUACUGUGAUGCUCUUGCAACCAGGAGAGUGCAUCAGAAGCUUUCUUCCAUUUGCAAUUUCUGUCUAGUUCAUGUUUUACCUUUCCUAGAUCUUCUUUUAGGACCUUAAUCAAUUCAUCUUGCUUAUACAAUUCAUCUUUCAUUUUUCCUAGAUUUUCUUCUAGAGUAAGAAAUGAGUGAUAAGUUUUCUUCUUUCCUGUUCCUAGUUUCAGUUUUAAGUUUUCAGACCUAAGUUUUACAACACUAUUGUCAAGUUCAAAAACCUGGUUCUUCAACUCAGCAUUUUUAUUAUCACUCUCACCAGCCCUAGAUUUUAGACUUUUGCAUUUUGCUUUUAGGAUAACACAUUCCCUAGACAAAACUUCCUUUUCAUUGUUAACUAUCUCAAACUUAUCAAUGAAGUCUAAUAAUAGCUCAGCCAACCUUUCCUUAGACAAAAAUUUAAUUUUGUCUUUGAGAUGCAGUAUAGUUACCUCUUGCUCAUACUAUAAUUCUCCAAUGUCCAUAAGAGCUUGCUCUUCUUCAGCUUCAUCUUCUGAGUCUUCAUCAGAGGUUUCACCNNNNNNNNNNNNNNNNNNNNNNNNNNNNNNNNNNNNNNNNNNNNNNNNNNNNNNNNNNNNNNNNNNNNNNNNNNNGUCUUCAUCUGAGGUUUCUCCCCAAGCAGCAACCAUAGCUUUAGUUGAUCCUUUGUUUCUUUUGGGUUGAACAUGUUCCUUCUUCCUGUUUCUUCGUUCAGCCCUUUCUUUCUUCCACUCAAUUUUCCAUUGAGGGCAACUCUUGAUCAUGUGGUCAGUCUUACCACACUUAUAGCAUACGUCAUUGAUCUGUUUCUCAUGAGCUCUUGUCUUGUUGAAGUUUGUACCUUUUGAUGAACCCUUUCUUCUCAUCGGGUACUUUUUGAAAUCUCUAGUGAUCAUAGCCAUCUCAUCAUCUUCCAGAUCUAAACUUUCUGUAAUUUUGAGAGUUAGGCUUCUCUCAUUCUUAGGUGUAUCCAUCUUCCUGGUUCGCCUUCUUAGUUCAUAAGCAGUAAGAUUUCCAAUCAGUUCAUCCAGUCUGAGAGUAGCCCUGUUCUUGGAUUCCUGAAUAGCAAUGAUUUUGCUUUCCCAAGCAACUGGAAGAACUCUUGUCAAGAUUUUCUCAACCUUGUCUUCUUCAAGAAUAACUCUUCCAAGAGACUUAAGUUCAUUUGUCAGUAUAGUGAACCUAGUAUAUAUCUCUUGAAUAGGUUCUCCAUCUUUCAUAGUAAAAUUCUCAUAUUGAGAAUACAACCGUGUUCCUCUGGAUCUCUUCACUUGAGAUGUUUCUUCAUGAGCCACUUGCAAAGUGUCCCAUAUCUCUUUGGCAGUAGCAAAGUUUUGGAUCCUGAUGUACUAAUCUGGACUCAAUCCACAUACAAGCCAUUUCUUGACCUUAGCAUUUUUCUCCCACUUUUUCAAGUCCUCAGCAGUGCAGUCAGCCCGUGUCUUUGGCACAUCCACUCCUUCCUUUUCAUUGUAGUUGCCAAAUGACCAUCAGUGACUAUGUCGCAGAGUUCAUAGUCUUCCCCUAUGAUGUGAUCCUUCAUUCUGUUCUUCCACCAAGAGUAAUACUGUCCAUUGAACAGUGGAGGCCUGGCAGUGGAUUGCCUUUCCCAGCUCCCAUGUGGUGCACUCGUAUUGAUCUUUUCCUAAGGUGUUAGCCUCUUCAAGGAUAACCCGCUCUAAUACCAAUUGAUGUUCCAAACGUUAAUACCAUACAAAAGGGGGUGAUUUGUGUGGUACUCAAUUUUCGAUCUAGAAAAACUUGGUUCUUCUAGGUGUUCUAAUUACUACUGUUUGCGAAAAUAAAAGUACAAAAAUUAAAGAACAUAGAGAUUUUUACGUGGAAAACACCUAGCUCAAAAGAUGAAACAACUACGACCUACUACCUAGUAGGAUUUUCGCAAACAUCCGCUAAAAUCAGUGAGCCAAAAUAGCAUUUACAAAACUCCUUGUAAACCUAAGGAUUAACUCUAAUCCCAGUGUGGCACACAACCUCAACUAUUGCGACACCUUCAAGUUAACUCUAAUUUGAAUACUCAAAGUACCUAAUAUAAUUGCUUCUAUAAAAGUUGGAAAGGUAUAAUUUUAAACCACCAAGUACAAUUGAACUAGACUAAGAACAAAAAAAAUGAAACUAGUUUUUCUAUCUCGUUUAAGUAGCUGCAGGAGUGCACACUUUAAUCUCACAUAAAUUGCUUGCAAAAUUACCUUGCUUUUUUCCUCUCAAUUUAGUUUAACUUCUGCGUAUGUGCAUACCUACAAAAGAGAACAAACUUCGUUACUUAUUAAGUUAGUAAUAAGAGUUUGAUUGAGACUUAAUUUCCUAACGAAGCUACAACAACUCUCGAAAUUUCAUUCCGACCCUCGUAUCAAAAUCUCACCUAUCAACCGGAAUUCGCCAAAAUACUAACUUUGUCAAUUCAAGCCUAAUUUUACACCGAACAUCCAAAAUCACUUCCGGUCACACUUCUAGGUCACAAAUCAUCCUCGAAAGAUAACAGAAUCAUCGGAAUCCAUAUUCGAGCCUCCUAACACAUAAGUCAACGUCCAGUUGACUUUUCCAAAACAAGCCUUCCUUAAAUAGACUAAGUGUCUCAUUUCCUUCUAAAAUCAAUUCACUCGUUCACACAAGACUUUUAUAAUGAAGCAUAAAGAAGCAUAAAAUAGGGAAAACGGGGCGGUAACUCACGUGACGACGAGUCGAGUCGUCACAGAACCGUACCUGUAGCUACGAUAGUUUUUAUGAUAGCGCGCCUAAAACAAACUAUGAAGGUUCAUAAAUAUAACGGCCUAAGCAUGAUCCUACUGACUAAAAGUUGAAAUAAAGUAAAUAAACAAAAUAAACAUAACUGUAAUUUUACUUCGUAUGCAAACAACAACGAUAAUCCGAUUUCCAUUCAAUUUCAAUUAAUAAGAUUUUUUUGUCUUCCAACAGAAGAAAUCAAACUAAUUUUAUACCAUUAUAUUUAACCAAGUAAUUACAUCAAUGCACCAGGAACAAACACCGAGUAACUGAGAACUGCACACCGAAACUCGAACAUAUACUAGCUGUAAUAUUAACUCUAGAUUCUAAAAGUAAUUCAUGAAAUUAGACCUAGUAUUAACUUAAGGAAUAAAGCCAGUUCAAUUCUAUUCAAGUGCUUCCAAUUAUACUAGUAAUAUUUUAUACCUUAAAAACAAUUGAUUGAAUUUCUCUUUUCUUAAGAGCUUAUAUCUAUUUUCAACAUAUUGAUCUAAGCAAGUACUAACCAAUGAAUAUUGCACUAAAUUGGUGAAUGAACUAGCUCAAACAAACGAUGAAAUUUUGAUUAAGGGCGUACAUCCGUCUUAAAAUAUCACAAACGGGCCAAAAUUCACACAACUUUUUUGUUCAACCAUCAUAUAAGACACAAUCAACAAAUAAAGGUUAAAAUAGUGACGGACCUCAAAUCGAAGUAAUUUUGAAUCUGGAAAUGCUUAGCGCCAGAGAACUUGGACAGCGACAACCUCGACAGAAAAUGAGCUUCAACUCUCAAAAAUCUCCAUAUUUCAGAAGCUAUAUUUUAAGAAAAAGAGAAAUACCUUUUUUGUACUUUUCCGAUUCUUCAAGAUGAAAGCAGGCUAAGCAGAGAACUGAAAAUCCUUUUUUUAUUGGUUUUCAAAAAUAAAGAACCCAGCUGAAAAUCUGAAAAUCCAAUCAAAUCUCUAUCCCAAAAUCGCAUGUCCUUUCUUCCCUCUCCUUUCACUUCUUUGUUUCUUUUCUUUGCAGGUGGUGGCUCUAGAAUGGUAGAGGAGUGGCUGCUCGAUCUUUUGGUUCAGAAAAAAGAGAUGAUCCAGGGUUCUCUUGGAGAUUUUUGUGGUUGAGCUCCAAGUGAGUAACUGUUGUUCUCUUGUUUCCGGCAACAAGAGAGACACACAGAGAGAGCUUUUGAGGGAGGUGGAGGUCGGCUGUUGUGUUAGACCGUUCCCAGAUGUUCGGUGGUCGAUUUGGCUCAAGGUUGGAGGAAAAUUCUCUGGUGUGUUAUCACCGGAUUUCGGCAGUAAGGAGAUGGGGAGUGCCGCGGCUAUGCCAGGAUAUGGUUAAGGCCUCGAAAGUUUUUCGGCCGCUGAUCUUGUUCUCUAAGGUCCGUAGGGCAUUUUGUUCUUUUGGG
rnacentral:lncRNA from 1 species